UAUCAAUGCUGCAAAACUGUAUUAAAUUAUUUAUUUAGUCAUUUAAAUCAAAAUACAAUCUCAAGAUGAUGAGAUAACAUUGCCAACUUAUCAGUUACUUUGCAAUGAUGAUGAGAUAUCAAUCAAACCAAUACAACCUCUUUAAUGCCCUUGUUGGAGAAAGGCGGUCGGCUCCGCCGCCGUCCCCUGUAGCGGUUCCCUACCUCAAAACUUUACUUUCCCAAAAUAAACCUCCUUAUUUUUUCAUGCUUGUUAUGAAUUUGAACCCCAUUUUAUCAAAAUCUCAACCUAAAAGGAGGUCGUCCCCCUCAGAAAUCACAACACAAUUAAAAAAAAAAGCAACUAACAACAACAUUCAAAAGACAAGCUUAUGGAUUUCGACACGUAAAAGGGAUUGAAGACAAAACAACAAAGAUUAACAAAGGAGUAAAGAAAUACCUAGAUUCAGCAACAAGACAAGAAUCUGUCCAAGCCAAAGAGAGCAGAGUUCUGGUUGUGUAGAGGAAAAAAAAGACAAACUAGCUCUUAGUCUUAUGUAUGCGAAAUGAAAUCUUUACAACCAGAUGAAACAGUCAUAAAGAAUCAGUUCGAAUGAUGAGAUGCAGAUGAAUGAAAUGACUACAUAAACAUGGUAUGCGAGUGAAUGACUUAGUUGCAGAUGAAUGAAUGUCAAUGGGUAAAUGCACAUGAAUGACUUUAGGUGGGACAAAAUUUAGGGUAUGACAGUUGCCCCUAUUUAAAUAUCUUUACCAGAUAGCAUGAGUGGUGGAAAUCCUCAUGAAAUUAGGGUGAAAGGUAUUUAAAUACAUAAGACCCACAUUUGCCCCUAUAUGCAAUGACAUGUUAUGUUAUGAGCUGAAUGACUUCUCUUUGAUUUGUUGGGGAUAUGAUAAGCCCUAGCGUGAUUUUUUUUAUGAUAGAUGAUAAGCAAACUUGUGGAGAAUGAUGAAAAUAUUGCAACAACGAUCCACAAGAAUCAGACAAAGACCAAAGGGUGAAGACACACUAGGGAUAAUAAAUUGAAUGGGAAAAGACGUUGGGGAAUAUUCAAAGUAUGAUUUAUUAACAGGUUCAUAUAUGACCUAAUGACACUUUAGAGUAUAUUUGUCAGUUCUGGAGAUUUCUCAUAAGAAAUUCAUCCAAUCAGAGAUUUUUGGAAAUUCUUAAUAGAGAAAUUAUCCAAGACAAUAAUAAAUUGGAGUUUUCUCACUAGAAGAUAAUCCACACAAAACAUUGGAGUUUUCUCAUUAGAAAGGCAUCCACACAAAACUUUGGAGCUUACUCAUUAGAAAGUCAUCCAUACAAAACAAACUAUGAUGAUUCUUUAUGAAGAAAUCAAUCAAAUAAAACAUCAUUGAAGUUUUUCAACAAGAAUAACAUCCAAGCUUCUAGGAAUUCCUUAAAAUGAAGAUUCACUUCUGACUUUCUAGGAACCGUCAGGAAAAACAGGGUAAUCAAACUCUCUGUAUAAGCCAACAAUUGGACUCGGACCGUAAGCAAUGGAUCACAACCAGCUUCUAACGGAUUUGUGAUAGCUUCAACUACACUUUACAUAAUGUUGGCAACAAUCAAACUUCAGGAUUCCCAUUACGAUUGGACUUUGGAUGAAGUUCCAGUGACAACUGGACUUUGGGUCAAGGGAUAACGAUCAACGACAAGACCAAAUGGGCAACGCAAAUGAGUACAAAGUACCUUUUAAACCAUGCAUGAUUUGAUUUUUUUGUUUUAUGCAUGAUAUAUGAAUGUUCAUGAUAUGUAAUGCUGGCGAUAGGCAGAUUGGGAGUUUGUAGGGACUGUUUAUAGAUAUUUUGAUUCCUCAACACCAAUAACUCCAAUCAGUACAAGUAAUAAGUGUAUCCAGAGGUGAAUCUACUAAGAUUGACAGUUAUAACUAGCCAAAGGGUAAUCCUUCCAUAUGAUUAAUAGGUUGUGCUCCAUAGAGAUUCUUGUUGGUGAUUUAGGAGUGCUCCUGCAACCUUGAG